rnacentral:rRNA from 1 species
ACUAGGUGUGGGGGGUCUGACCCCCUCCGUGCCGGAGUUAACACAAUAAGUAAUCCACCUGGGAAGUACGACCGCAAGGUUGAAACUCAAAGGAAUUGACGGGGGCCCGCACAAGCAGUGGAGUAUGUGGUUUAAUUCGAAGCAACGCGAAGAACCUUACCAGGUCUUGACAUCCAACUAAUCCUGUAGAGAUAUGGGAGUGCCCUUCGGGGAAAGUUGAGGCAGGUGGUGCAUGGUUGUCGUCAGCUCGUGUCGUGAGAUGUUGGGUUAAGUCCCGCAACGAGCGCAACCCUUGUGAUUAGUUGCUACGCAAGAGCACUCUAAUCAGACUGCCGUUGACAAAACGGAGGAAGGUGGGGACGAUGUCAAAUCAUCAUGCCUCUUAUGAUCUGGGCUACACACGUACUACAAUGGCCAUCAACAGAGGGAAGCAAAACCGCGAGGCAGAGCAAACCCCUAAAAAUGGUCUCAGUUCGGAUCGCAGGCUGAAACCCGCCUGCGUGAAGCUGGAAUUGCUAGUAAUCGCGGAUCAUCAUGCCGCGGUGAAUACGUUCCCGGGCCUUGUACACACCGCCCGUCACACCAUGGGAGCCGGUAAUACCCGAAGUCGGUAGUCUAACCGCAAGGAGGACGCCGCCGAAGGUAGGAUUGGCGACUGGGGUGAAGUCGUAACAAGGUAGCCGUAUCGGAAGGUGCGGCUGGAUCACCUCCU